GUCUCUGUAGUGCAAUGGAUAAUGCGUUGGACUUCAAAUCCCAAGGUCGUGGGUUCGAGUCCCACCUGGGACA